GGGAUCUACUGGGGGACACGGGGAUCUACUGGUGGAUACUGGGAUCCACUGGGGGUGCUGGGAUCUGCUGGGAUCUGAGAGGAGCCACGGGGACCCACUGGGAUCUGCUGGGGGAUACUGGGACCCACUGGGAGAUACUGGGAUCUGAGAGGAGCUCUUGGGAUCCACUGGGAUCUGUCAGGAGCUGUUGGGACCCACAGGGAUCCACUGGGGGAUACUGGGACCCACUGGGAGAUACUGGGAUCUGAGAGGAGCUCUUGGGAUCCACUGGGAUCUGUCAGGAGCUGUCGGGACCCACUGGGAUCCCCUGGGGAUACUGGGAUCCACUGGGAGAAACAGUUCCACCAGGAGAUACUGGGACCCACUGCAAUCUGAGAGGAGCUCUCGGGAUCUGCUGGGAUCCACUGGGAGAAGCUGGGAUCCACUGGGAGAUACUGGGAAUAUAAUGGGAAUAUAUGCUACCGAGACAUCCCAGAUAAAGCCCCUUAUCUGCCUUCUCUGCAAUCAAUGAGAUGCUCCAGCCUGGCUUUUCAGGUCUUGCUGCAACCAAAAUAUUUGGAUCUGUUCCCACCGGCUCCUCCCAAAAUCGGGAUUUUUGAAGGAUGCGAUGCAGGAUUCCCUGUCAGGAUUGGGACAAUUCCAGAGUCUCCCGAGGUGCAGGAGAUCAGCUGAGCCUUCAUCACCAGUGGUGGGAGAGUCAUCCUCCCAAAUUAAACAACUGCAAAGUUGUCUCCAGGGAAAUCAUCAGGUUUUGGUGCUGUUAGAGCCACUGGU